CCUACGGGUGGCAGCAGUGAGGAAUAUUGGUCAAUGGACGCAAGUCUGAACCAGCCAUGCCGCGUGCAGGAAGACGGCUCUAUGAGUUGUAAACUGCUUUUGUACGGGGGCAAACGCAGAUACGCGUAUCUGUCUGAAAGUAUCUUACGAAUAAGAAUCGGCUAACUCCGUGCCAGCAGCCGCGGUAAUCCGGAGGAUUCAAGCGUUAUCCGGAUUUAUGGGGUUUAAAGGGUACGUAGGCGGUCGGAUCAGUUAGAGGUGAAAUCCCGGGGCUCAACUUCGGAAUUGCCUCUGAUACUGUCCGGCUAGAGUGUAGUAGCGGUAGGCGGAAUGUAUGGUGUAGCGGUGAAAUGCUUAGAGAU
rnacentral:rRNA from 1 species